rnacentral:rRNA from 1 species
GACAGAGGUCCCGAGCGUUUAGACGGAAUCACUGGGCUUAAAGCGUGUGUAGGCGGAAGGGUAAGUACCUUGUGAAAUCCCACGGCUCAACCGUGGAACUGCUUGGUAUACUGCUUUUCUUGAGCCACUUAGGGGCAACCGGAACAAAUGGUGGAGCGGUGAAAUGCGUAGAUAUCAUUUGGAACGCCAAUGGUGAAAACAGGUUGCUGGGAGUGUGCUGACGCUGAGACACGAAAGCCAGGGGGGCAAACGGG